rnacentral:rRNA from 1 species
CUACGGGUGGCUCCAGUGAGGAAUUUUGCGCAAUGGGGGAAACCCUGACGCAGCAACGCCGCGUGAGUGAUGAAGGCCUUCGGGUCGUAAAACUCUGUCAAGUGGGAAGAACCUAUGUAAGGUUAAUACCCUUAUGUACUGACGGUACCACUGAAGGAAGCACCGGCUAACUCCGUGCCAGCAGCCGCGGUAAUACGGAGGGUGCAAGCGUUAUUCGGAAUUAUUGGGCGUAAAGGGCGCGCAGGCGGUUUUGUAAGUCAGAUGUGAAAGCCCGGGGCUUAACCUCGGAAGUGCAUUUGAUACUGCAAGACUUGAGUAUGGGAGGGGGAAGUGGAAUUCCUGGUGUAGAGGUGAAAUGCGUAGAUAUCAGGAGGAACACCAGUGGCGAAGGCGACUUCCUGGACCAAUACUGACGCUGAGGCGCGAAGGCGUGGGGAGCAAACAGGAUUAGAUACCCGCGUAGUC